UAUAUGUAUAUGCAAGUGUGUGUGUAAUGCAUGCUUUGCAUGUGUGUGUGUGUUGGUGAGUAUGGGUUUGGGCUCAAGCCCAAACCACCUCUUGAUCCUAACCUAUCCAAACCCAAGGCCCAUUUCCAUUUCCUAGAAUUAUAUUGUUUGGGUAGUUUGAUUAAGUUGUACAUUUUCGUGCUUAGGUGAAGUUGCUAGUGGAGACUUCCUUAAUAAUUUUCCGCACAAUUCUGCUGCUUCGGAGUAUCUGUGAGUGGACCACCUUCAAAAAUUGCAUAUUUUAUUGAUAGAAUUGCAUAAUUUAAUAGCAUGCCUUGCAGAUUGAUUGAUUUGAGGAAUACUUUACAGAAGCAUGAUGAUUUAAUUAUGAUUGAUUAUAUAUAUUUUGAACUAUUUUCAUUAUAUUGUAUUUUCUAUAUAACCCUCAUUCUGGUAGACAAUUUGAUCGAUGAUGAUAGGAUACUAAGAAUGUGUUUCAAAUGACUUUCGAACACCUCUUCGUAGUAUAGAUGAUCGAUGAAUUUAUGCUACGAAGUUGUAUUUUAGAGAUGAAUUAUGUUUUGUGCGUACCUAGUGAACACUAUGCCGACUGAGGCGAGGAUCUGGUGUUGGCAUUGAGGCCAGGAGAAAUAAUCCCUAGCGAAAGGCUGAGGGAUACGGAGACAGGCAUUGGGUCGGGAGGGAGAUAUCUCUGGCUACGGGCACAGAGACUGAGGUGCAGGCAUUGGGCCGGGAGUAUUGUUAUUCAGUGCACUCACUAGCGACACAACUUGUGUUAUGCUUCCUGAUAUGAUUUGUGAUAUGAUUUUCUGAGAUUGAUUUGCAGAGAGAUAUAUGAAUUGUUUUUAUGGCAUGCUAGAGGUUUUGAGAAACCUAUCACUUAUUAUUUAGUAGUUUUCAUUAUCUUAACUGUGGGGGUUAGUAUGUUUAUAAUUGUUUUCGUAUUAUGUAUGUAUAUAAACUUGGUCCACUCACCCUUAUUUUGCGCCCCCAUUCAGGUCUUAGGGACGAGGACUACGACGCAAUAUACGAGGCAUUCACCUACCAAUAGCUGCGUCCGUUUUCCUUGUGUGAUAUCUGUAAUAGUCCUUCCUUUUGAAAUCUCAAAUUAGAACAUGCUCUGUGCACUCUAGCCACUUUCUUAAGCACUGUUUAUUUCCUUUAGACCUUCUGAGAAUUAUAUUUAUAUUUUCUCCUAAUCUUUACUCUUGUAUUCAAUAAAUGGCUUUCGUCACCUCAGGUGUUGGCCAGCACGUGCCUAUCCUAAUAUUCGGGGAAUAUCGGGGUCGGGGCGUGUCAUUAAUUGUAGUAGCUUGAUUAAUGCUUUGAGUUAAUCUCUCCUCUCGUUCUAACGAUGCAUGCAACUUGUUCCCAUGCUAAUCCUCCUCGAGAACCAACGUAAGUUGAUUAGAAGAACAAAAUUAAGUUCGAAUUAUUUCACAUCCACUUGAUACUCGAUUGUACGCGAAAUCAACGCGUAAUUUAUUAUAUUCGCGGAAUAUGUCAAUGUUUGAAUUCAGAAAAAUGUGAUUGUAGUAAAAAGACGGGGGAAGAUCCUGGUUUACUUGCCAAUUUUGGAUCUGCAGGGAGGACAUCUUUGUCCUCGCUGCGAGGAUCACAUCAAGCUUUAAAACCUGUGAGCUUAAUUGUUCGAAGGAGCUCACAUGAUCCGCUUUCAGCAGCCAUCACAAGGAGCAUAACAAGUUGCAUUGCCAACACUCCAGACCUCAACUCAUCUCAUACAAUAUUACUUAACCAAAUUGGAAGAACUAAUACUAAUUUUCCAGACACGGAGAUUAUACAUUUCAAUUAGGUCAGGCUUCUGCGUCUUCUGAUGAUAACGGGUUCCAAAAUGAGACCCAAAUUGAUCUGUGGAGGCAACUUCUCAUGGAGUCGACUCUAUACAUGCACAGGCCACCUGAUAGCUUGCAGAACGCUGGAGCUACUUACCAACGACCUCUGCACUUCUCGAUUGAAAUGCGUGAUCGUUAUGGAGCAAUGUGGCUCGAUGUGGAUAGCAUGUCAUAUGAGGAACUAUUGGCUUUAGAAGAUCAUAUAGGGUAUGUCAGUACAGGAUUAUCUGAGGAAGCAGCUGUCACGUCUCUCAAACGCAGCAAUUACUUUGUGUUUAAAGAAGAAAAUGUUCAGAAAGACUUCUGCAGCAUCGGUCAGGAGGAUUUUGUAGAGGAGGAUGAGCUAGGAACAUUGGACUGUGGACACGGCUUCCACAUUUCUUGCAUUAAGCAAUGGCUAGGGCAUAAAAAUGUUUGUCCUAUGUGCAAAUCUCCUGGUUUAAGUUCUAAGCUACCCUCAUUUUCGCACAUUCAAAGUCAGUAAACUAAUUAAUUUUUUAUGAAGUUGACCAAGUAUUUGGCGAUUUCUCAAUUUCGCCAGGCUAGUUUAAUUUACUUUCAUUUUUUUGUCUGGUAAAUGUACAGAUUAUUUAUAAAAAAACAAUGAGGAAUCUCAUGUACAUGCUCAAAAAA